rnacentral:rRNA from 1 species
AACUUUCAACAACGGAUCUCUUGGCUCUCGCAUCGAUGAAGAACGCAGCGAAAUGCGAUACGUAAUGUGAAUUGCAGAAUUCAGUGAAUCAUCGAAUCUUUGAACGCACCUUGCGCCCCUUGGCAUUCCGAGGGGCACACCCGUUUGAGUGUCGU